rnacentral:rRNA from 1 species
AAACCAACCGGGAUUGCCUCAGUAGCGGCGAGUGAAGCGGCAAAAGCUCCACUUUGAAAGCGCUUCGGCGCGUUGUAGUGUGGUGCAGUCUUUGAACGGCGGAUGACUAAGUCCCUUGGAACAGGGUGCCAUAGAGGGUGAGAGCCCCGUGAGUCGUCUUUAUUAAGUUCUUUAAGUCUGUACCAAAGAGUCGAGUUGUUUGGGAAUGCAGCUCUAAGUGGGUGGUAAAUUCCAUCUAAGGCUAAAUACCGGCGAGAGACCGAUAGCGAACAAGUACAGUGAUGGAAAGAUGAAAAGCACUUUGAAAAGAGAGUGAAACAGUACGUGAAAUUGUUGAAAGGGAAGGGUAUUUGGCCCGACAUGGGUCCUGUGCACCGUUGCCUCUUGUAGGCGGCGCUCUGCUGGGGCCUGGGCCAGCAUCAGUUUUCUGGCGGGGAUAAGGUUGCGUGAACCACCUAGUGGGGAUCGUGGCGAUGCCCGCACGGGGGACUGAGGACUGCCGCUGUAGGAUGCUGGCACAACGGCCAAAUACCGC